GAUGAACGCUGGCGGCGUGCCUAAUACAUGCCAGUCGAGCGAACGGACGAGAAGCUUGCUUUUCUGAUGUUAGCGGCGGACGGGCGAGUAACACGUGGAUAACCUACCUAUAAGACUGGGAUAACUUCGGGAAACCGGAGCUAAUACCGGAUAAUAUUUUGAACCGCAUGGUUCAAAAGUGAAAGACGGUCUUGCUGUCACUUAUAGAUGGAUCCGCGCUGCAUUAGCUAGUUGGUAAGGUAACGGCUUACCAAGGCAACGAUGCAUAGCCGACCUGAGAGGGUGAUCGGCCACACUGGAACUGAGACACGGUCCAGACUCCUACGGGAGGCAGCAGUAGGGAAUCUUCCGCAAUGGGCGAAAGCCUGACGGAGCAACGCCGCGUGAGUGAUGAAGGUCUUCGGAUCGUAAAACUCUGUUAUUAGGGAAGAACAUAUGUGUAAGUAACUGUGCACAUCUUGACGGUACCUAAUCAGAAAGCCACGGCUAACUACGUG
rnacentral:rRNA from 1 species